rnacentral:rRNA from 1 species
GUAAUCGGAAUGAGCACACUUUAAAUCCUUUAACGAGUAUCCAUUGGAGGGCAAGUCUGGUGCCAGCAGCCGCGGUAAUUCCAGCUCCAAUAGCGUAUAUUAAAGUUGUUGCGGUUAAAAAGCUCGUAGUUGGACUUGUGUCCCACGCUGUCGGUUCACCGCCCGUCGGUGUCUAACUGGCAUGGUUCGUGGGACGUCCUGCCGGUGGUGGCGAGUCGAAGGAGCGCGCCCGUCGUGGUUCACGCCGCGAUCGAGGUUGCGGUCUGUAGACGGACCCCGAUGAAAUCCUACCGCGGUGCUCUUCACCGAGUGUCGAGGUGGGCCGGCACGUUUACUUUGAACAAAUUAGAGUGCUUAAAGCAGGCCUGUUGCGCCUGAAUACUGUGUGCAUGGAAUAAUGGAAUAGGACCUCGGUUCUAUUUUGUUGGUUUUCGGAACCCGAGGUAAUGAUUAAUAGGGACAGUCGGGGGCAUUCGUAUUGCGACGUUAGAGGUGAAAUUCUUGGAUCGUCGCAAGACGGACCGAAGCGAAAGCAUUUGCCAAGUAUGUUUUCAUUAAUCAAGAACGAAAGUUAGAGGUUCGAAGGCGAUCAGAUACCGCCCUAGUUCUAACCAUAAACGAUGCCAGCUAGCGAUCCGCCGAAGUUCCUCCGAUGACUCGGCGGGCAGCUCCCGGGAAACCAAAGCUUUUGGGUUCCGGGGGAAGUAUGGUUGCAAAGCUGAAACUUAAAGGAAUUGACGGAAGGGCACCACCAGGAGUGGAGCCUGCGGCUUAAUUUGACUCAACACGGGAAACCUCACCAGGCCCGGACAC